CUCUUGGGUGGUUAGCUCAUCCCCAGAUGAAAGGGGGUGGUGCUGUGUCAGUAUUCGAAGCGUUAAUGUUUGCCUGUGCGUUUGCAAGCUUAAUCUUAGCAAUCCUGUCAUUUAACCAAAAAAAAUAACCCACCCAUGAGCUGCUAGGCAAUAGGUGGAUUAUCCCGCUAUUAGCUGACCCCCUUGAAGGGAAUCUUCUAUUGGGAGACCGAUUGGUGUAACUAGCACC
rnacentral:sRNA from 1 species